rnacentral:rRNA from 1 species
GAUGAACGCUGGCGGCGUGCCUAAUACAUGCAAGUCGAGCGAACGGACGAGAAGCUUGCUUCUCUGAUGUUAGCGGCGGACGGGUGAGUAACACGUGGAUAACCUACCUAUAAGACUGGGAUAACUUCGGGAAACCGUAGCUAAUACCGGAUAAUAUUUUGAACCGCAUGGUUCAAAAGUGAAAGACGGUCUUGCUGUCACUUAUAGAUGGAUCCGCGCUGCAUUAGCUAGUUGGUAAGGUAACGGCUUACCAAGGCAACGAUGCUUAGCCGACCUGAGAGGGUGAUCGCCCACACUGGAACUGAGACACGGUCCUGACUCCUACGGGAGGCAGCAGUAGUGAAUCUUCCACAAUGGGCGAAAGCCUGACGUAGCAACGCCGCGUGAGUGAUGAAGGUCCUCGGAUCGUAAAACUCUGUUAUUAGGGAAGAACAUAUGUGUAAGUAACUGUGCACAUCUUGACGGUACCUGAUCAGAAAGCCACGGCUAACUACGUG